rnacentral:lncRNA from 1 species
AUAAAGCAGGUCAAAUGCUUGUCCAAUAUAAAAUAAUUUUCAUACCAAAGAUUCAAAUACAAAUAAGUAAACUUUUGAGACAACUAUAAGUUUUCUGUCUGAAAUUGUAUACUAUGUAGAUAACUUGCGACUUUCUAAGAAAAGGAAAUAAGAUAUUUUUGUCAUAGUCAAUAUAGAAUUGUUGAAUUAGAAUAACAAAGAAAUAAAUAUCUAAUAUUCGUAAAGAAAUAAUUGAAUUGAUAUAUUUUAUAACUUCAGUCUAUCGCCACUCACAAUUUAUUUGGAUGUUGUUUGACCAAGGACUCCUAGGCGAAGUACAUAAUAUUGCCC